rnacentral:rRNA from 1 species
AGUGAACGCUGGCGGUAGGCCUAACACAUGCAAGUCGAACGGCAGCACAGUAAGAGCUUGCUCUUACGGGUGGCGAGUGGCGGACGGGUGAGGAAUACAUCGGAAUCUACUUUUUCGUGGGGGAUAACGUAGGGAAACUUACGCUAAUACCGCAUACGACCUACGGGUGAAAGCAGGGGAUCUUCGGACCUUGCGCGAUUGAAUGAGCCGAUGUCGGAUUAGCUAGUUGGCGGGGUAAAGGCCCACCAAGGCGACGAUCCGUAGCUGGUCUGAGAGGAUGAUCAGCCACACUGGAACUGAGACACGGUCCAGACUCCUACGGGAGGCCGCAGUGGGGAAUAUUGGACGAUGGGCGCAAGCCUGAUCCAGCCAUACCGCGUGGGUGAAGAAGGCCUUCGGGUUGUAAAGCCCUUUUGUUGGGAAAGAAAAGCAGCAGGUUAAUACCCCGCUGUUCUGACGGUACCCAAAGAAUAAGCACCGGCUAACUUCGUG